UACGUAGGGCGCAAGCGUUGUCCGGAAUUAUUGGGCGUAAAGAGCUCGUAGGCGGCUUGUCACGUCGGGUGUGAAAGCCCGGGGCUUAACUCCGGGUCUGCAUUCGAUACGGGCUGGCUAGAGUGUGGUAGGGGAGAUCGGAAUUCCUGGUGUAGCGGUGAAAUGCGCAGAUAUCAGGAGGAACACCGGUGGCGAAGGCGGAUCUCUGGGCCAUUACUGACGCUGAGGAGCGAAAGCGUGGGGAGCGAACAGG
rnacentral:rRNA from 1 species